GUGAACCUGCGGCUAAUCCCGUGUGUGGCAGCUCUCACAAGAUUUCACAAGCAGAAGCAGCAUGGUGAUUAGGCAGUGGAGAUUUCAUAUUCUGAUAGGGAGGAGAAGCCUGUGGUGGUUAAGAACCUAGCCAGGGGAAUCAAUGGCAUGAGGAGUACUGGUGCUGAAGGAGGAGCUGCUGCCGCUGCCACCUGGGCCAUUAAGAAUGGAACCAGCUCCAACAGGACCCUGCUCUUUUCUGUGCAGCCAGCUAAAGCAGAUCUCGGAUGCCACUGGAAAGCCAGCUUUGGCGGGACAAUUAGAAACUGAGAUCCAGCAGGACUGAAUUUGAUGUUAUUCCAGUCAUGUGGCCUGUCUCCUGUGCACGAGUAAUUUAGGAUUUGCACCAGAAUCAAACAAUGUCCUGAAAAGCUUGGCUUCCUUUUUGUUGUUGUUGUUGAAUAUCAGUUUUAGGAGGAAGUGUUCCCGCAGCUUGUUUUUUAAAAAACAAAGUUUCUCAGAAUGCACUUUGACUCUGGUGCAGAUCUUACA